rnacentral:misc_RNA from 1 species
GUGAAGAACGCAGCGAAAUGCGAUAGGUAAUGUGAAUUGCAGAAUUCAGUGAAUCAUCGAAUCUUUGAACGCACAUUGCGCCCUUUGGUAUUCCUUAGGGCAUGCCUGUUCGAGCGUCACUACACACCUUAUCACAAUAUUUGUGGUCUUGGCAGGAGUGAAUUGCUGGUCUAUGGAAGUAUUCCAGCAGUACACAAUGCUAAAAAAUAUGGGAAGGUUACCAGAUAUGAACAACAGACUUUGUAAAUGGUUGUAGGACCUAGAUCAGUCACAAGUAAUGUCUGGUCCCUUACCUUAAGGACCCCCAUCCUAGAUGAACUAUGGGUUGACCUCGGAUCAGGUAGGAAUACCCGCUGAACUUAAGCAUAUCAAUAAGCGGAGGA